rnacentral:tRNA from 1 species
GAAAGUGUAGCUCAGUGGUAAAAUGCAUGCCUAGCAUGCAUGAGGUCCUGGGUUCAAUCCCCAGUCCCUCCA